AGGGCACCACCGGGAGUGGAGCCUGCGGCUUAAUUUGACUCAACACGGGGAAACUUACCCGGCCUGGACACUGGAAGGAUUGACAGAUUGAGAGCUCUUUCUUGAUUCAGUGGGUGGUGGUGCAUGGCCGUUCUUAGUUGGUGGAGCGAUUUGUCUGGUUAAUUCCGAUAACGAACGAGACUCUAGCCUAUUAAAUAGGCUCUCGGCUUUUAAACGCCGGGAGGACUUCUUAGAGGGACAGGUGGCGGUUCAGCCGCACGAAAGAGAGCAAUAACAGGUCUGUGAUGCCCUUUGUUGUCCGGGGCCGCACGCGCGCUACACUGAAGAGAUCAGCGUGCUUUACGUUCCUGCUCCGACCGGAGUGGGGAACCCAGUGAACCUUCUUCGUGAUUGGGAUAGAAGAUUGUAAUUAUUCUUCUUGAACGAGGAAUUCCCAGUAAAUGCGAGUCAUAAGCUCGCGUUGAUUACGUCCCUGCCGUGGCAUGCAAGGCCGCCCCGUCGCUACUACCGAUUGAACGG
rnacentral:rRNA from 1 species